rnacentral:rRNA from 1 species
UGGGGAAUAUUGCGCAAUGGACGAAAGUCUGACGCAGCAACGCCGCGUGAGGGAUGACGGCCUUCGGGUUGUAAACCUCUUUCAGCAGGGACGAAGCGAGAGUGACGGUACCUGCAGAAGAAGGACCGGCCAACUACGUGCCAGCAGCCGCGGUAAUACGUAGGGUCCGAGCGUUGUCCGGAAUUAUUGGGCGUAAAGGGCUCGUAGGCGGUUCGUCACGUCGGGAGUGAAAACUCGAGGCUUAACCCCGAGCCUGCUUCCGAUACGGGCAGACUAGAGGUAGACAGGGGAGAGCGGAACUCCUGGUGUAGCGGUGGAAUGCGCAGAUAUCAGGAAGAACACCGGUGGCGAAGGCGGCUCUCUGGGCCGUUACCUGACGCUGAGGAGCGAAAGCGUGGGUAGCGAACAGGAUUAGAUACCUGGUAGUCCACGCCGUAAACGUUGGGCGCUAGGUGUGGGGGACAUUCCACGUCCUCCGUGCCGCAGCUAACGCAUUAAGCGCCCGCCUCGGGG